UACGAAGGGUGCAAGCGUUACUCGGAAUUACUGGGCGUAAAGCGUGCGUAGGUGGUGAGUUAAGUCUGAUGUGAAAUCCCCGGGCUCAACCUGGGAAUGGCAUUGGAUACUGGCUCGCUCGAGUGCGGUAGAGGGUGGUGGAAUUCCCGGUGUAGCAGUGAAAUGCGUAGAGAUCGGGAGGAACAUCUGUGGCGAAGGCGGCCACCUGGACCAGCACUGACACUGAGGCACGAAAGCGUGGGGAGCAAACAGGG
rnacentral:rRNA from 1 species